rnacentral:tRNA from 26 species
CUGGGACGGAAGGAUUCGAACCUCCGAAUAGCGGGACCAAAACCCGUUGCCUUACCACUUGGCCACGCCCCA